rnacentral:rRNA from 1 species
CAGUCGCCACGGUAAUACGGAGGGUGCAAGCGUUAAUCGGAAUUACUGGGCGUAAAGCGCACGCAGGCGGUUUGCUAAGUCAGAUGUGAAAUCCCCGAGCUUAACUUGGGAACUGCAUUUGAAACUGGCAAGCUAGAGUCUUGUAGAGGGGGUAGAAUUCCAGGUGUAGCGGUGAAAUGCGUAGAGAUCUGGAGGAAUACCGGCGGCGAAGGCGGCCCCCUGGACAAAGACUGACGCUCAGGUGCGAAAGCGUGGGGAGCAAACAGGAUUAGAUACCCCAGUAGUCCCUGUCUCUUAUACC